rnacentral:lncRNA from 1 species
GCUUAGUUAAAGCUGCUCCGCCUUCGCUCUCCACUUUCCCCCCUCCUUCCCUGAAAAUCCAUUUUCUCUCUCUUCCAAAUUACUUUUCAUAUUCUGUUCUUUUGCAAUGUGAAAUGAAAUUUCUCAGCACUUUCCAACUUUCUCUUCAAAAUACCAUUUUAACUUUCUUGGAAUUUUUUGUCAAACUGCAUAGAAAUUUGUGAUUUGAGUUCACUCUGCUAUCUGAAAUGUCUGAACCGGGUAUAUACUUAAUAACUGAAUCUUUUUUUGGGUUGGUGCAUUUACUGGGUUUUGGGCUAAAGUAUGUCCGUGUUUCUUGUUUUUAUUUGGGUGUGUUCUUGUUUGAAUUUUGGAGCUGCUAAAAUUGGCUUUUAUGUUUGGUUAUGAUGUUUUCUGGUUCUGGGUUUCUUUUGGGUGUUUGUUUUAUUCGAUACUUGUUAGUGCUUCUGCAUUGAUAUGUAUGUGUUAUAUGUUUUGUUAUUCUGUUUGCAUGAGUAUGCAUGUGCUUCUUUUUUGGUUUUGUUUGUUUUUAAUAUUCAUGCAAGGGAAAAGAUAUUAUUUCAUUAAUUCUGUUCAGAUUUGAAAGAUAUUAAAACAGGAGAUUUAAUGAUGAAAUCCUAGCAAGGUGUGUCAUGGGUGAUCUUAGCAAUGACAACUUUAUUUUGGUAUUUUGCAUUUGUUUAAGAAGGGAUAUCCUAAUGUGGGUUCCUCUGAUGUGUUCAUGUUUUUAAAAAUUCUGUAAGUUUGAUAUUAUAAAUUUUAUUUUGCAUUUGGUUUCGUAAACGCAUGAUAGUUUUGGGCAUAUUUUGGGGUGUAGCAACUUGCAUUGAAAGGGUGAUGACUGAUGAAUGGCACAAUGAUGCGUCUAUAAUCUUAAGCUUUAUGAUGGAUUUUUUAUCUUCUACUUGUUGGCCAUAUGCACACUGCUGAACCACUACAUCAUGCCCCGUCAUUCUGCCAAUUAUGCUUGCUUUACUAUGCUAAUUAUCAACGAGAAUUUGAAUAAACAAACAUGAGAGACAAACUCAGAUUGUGCUCUGAGCUUUACGUGUAACAAACUUGCUUGAUUCUUGGAUUACAUACAUUUAUUCUUUUUUCCGUGAAAGUAAAUUAAUGAAAAUGUGGCAAAAAGAUUAGGUAACUGAUUCCACAAAUGGAUCAAUCUCUUUUGUGUAUGAAAUUGGUCCUUACCUAAUGGUUAAUUUAAAAACAAAUUUUCUGUUUGGAAUGUGGUUUGUUCCUCUAUGUCGUAACAUUAAUUUGUUAAUUGCAAUUUAUGCUUUCGGUCUGCUGAUUGUGAAGUUCGAUGGCACUUAAAUGUUCUUAAUUGUUAUGUUUAGCAUGGGAAGAAAUGCUAGAAAUCAGGCAACUAGAAUGCAAUUCCAGAACUCUGGUGAAUGCAUCUAAGGACGGCUCAAAAUUUUCAAACGAGAGUCUGAAACUGUUUUCAGAUGACCUUCUCCAGGUGUGGUGACUUUUUAAAUUAAAUUGAACAAUUAUAUGUUUCCUUUUACAUCUUUUCUGCAGUU